rnacentral:rRNA from 1 species
UACGGAGGGCGCAAACGUUGCUCGGAAUCACUGGGCGUAAGGCGCACGUAGGCGGCUCGAAAAGUCGGAUGUGAAAGCCCUGGGCUCAACCUAGGAAGUGCAUUCGAAACUGCCGAGCUUGAGUACGGGAGAGGGUUGCGGCCUUCCCGGUGUAGAGGUGAAAUUCGUAGAUAUCGGGAGGAACACCCGUGGCGAAGGCGGCAGCCUGGACCGAUACUGACGCUGAGGUGCGAAAGCGUGGGGAGCAAACAGG